rnacentral:rRNA from 1 species
AUGCAGUCGAACGGUGAACACGGAGCUUGCUCUGUGGGAUCAGUGGCGAACGGGUGAGUAACACGUGAGCAACCUGCCCCUGACUCUGGGAUAAGCGCUGGAAACGGCGUCUAAUACUGGAUAUGUGACGUGAUCGCAUGGUCUGCGUCUGGAAAGAAUUUCGGUUGGGGAUGGGCUCGCGGCCUAUCAGCUUGUUGGUGAGGUAAUGGCUCACCAAGGCGUCGACGGGUAGCCGGCCUGAGAGGGUGACCGGCCACACUGGGACUGAGACACGGCCCAGACUCCUACGGGAGGCAGCAGUGGGGAAUAUUGCACAAUGGGCGCAAGCCUGAUGCAGCAACGCCGCGUGAGGGACGACGGCCUUCGGGUUGUAAACCUCUUUUAGCAGGGAAGAAGCGAAAGUGACGGUACCUGCAGAAAAAGCGCCGGCUAACUACGUGCCAGCAGCCGCGGUAAUACGUAGGGCGCAAGCGUUAUCCGGAAUUAUUGGGCGUAAAGAGCUCGUAGGCGGUUUGUCGCGUCUGCUGUGAAAUCCGGAGGCUCAACCUCCGGCCUGCAGUGGGUACGGGCAGACUAGAGUGCGGUAGGGGAGAUUGGAAUUCCUGGUGUAGCGGUGGAAUGCGCAGAUAUCAGGAGGAACACCGAUGGCGAAGGCAGAUC